rnacentral:rRNA from 1 species
CGAGUUGUAGAUUGCAGGUUGGAGUCUGUGUGGAAGGCGGUGUCCAAGUCCCUUGGAACAGGGCGCCCAGGAGGGUGAGAGCCCCGUGGGAUGCCGGCGGAAGCAGUGAGGCCCUUCUGACGAGUCGAGUUGUUUGGGAAUGCAGCUCCAAGCGGGUGGUAAAUUCCAUCUAAGGCUAAAUACUGGCGAGAGACCGAUAGCG